rnacentral:other from 1 species
UUUGCCCUGCGAUGUGCGUGAGCUCUAGGAGUUUUGUUCCUAACACCAACAAAACGGGAUGUUUAACCUUUGUUCCAAGUGGUAGCCGCAAGUCGGAUUCGCGCGGGAUAAAGCAAGCAACCCACCUGCGGAGAGCAGGUUCAAAACGAGGGGCCACGGCAUGGCGGGGGAAUA